UCAUGAAUGUGAUUUAUUCCAGCUUCAAUAUGCACAUGAUUAUCUCUGUAAGGUUACAAAUCACCAACCUGUACUACAGUUGUACCUUACCAAAACAUCUGUACAUUAGAGCAAUAGUAUGUACACCUUUUUGUUAAAACCCUCAAAUAAAAAUGUAUUAAUUCAAUAAUAAUAAUGAAAAACAAAUUAUAUAUAAUUACUUCUCUCUCUAAACAUGAAAAAUUAAUGGUACCAUAAGGUCAAAAUCCAGUUCUGUCAUAACCCAAGCAUGUCAACAUUUUUAUUUUUAUUUUGUUCUAAUUGCAAGUAAUUUUGAAGUAAGGAUCAGAAAUAUACACAAUAUUCAUAAAUGCCUUAUAGUCUAUACUUAUAGUUUGUGAAAAUUAUUUCUUGCAAAUUUAAAGGAGCGAGUCAACCGCAAAUUUAAUCAUUUCACAUAUGCCAAUUCAAUCAUAAGAUAUGUUAUUUUUCUAUCAUUGAUUUAAUGUCCUAGUAUUUUUUGAUGCAAAUCGCAAUUGAAAAAAUGUUAUAAAGGAUCAUUUAGCUAUCUCCUUGGGUAAAUAUUUCUCCCCAUUGCUUUACUCUAGAUGGUCAUAUUUGCAAAAAUGGUAAACAAGUGCAUCAAAUGUGUUUAUUCCUAGUAAUGUUUGAUAACCAGGAAAUAAACAGCCAGAACUUGUUAUGUUCAGCUAACCAUCAAAAUAUCAUUGACAUUCAAUUGUCUCAAAUAACAGCUCUUAUGAUUUGGGUGUUUAAAAAGGUUGGAUCAGAAAUGCUUUGAUGAGUGUUUGUAAAGCAGCACUCAUUUUGCAUGUUAAACACUAUUUUUAAUAAAAAAAACCCCACUAUUGUUGCCUUUCUUAAAAACAUUUUCAACAAGUAGUUUCCAAAGCAGUAUGAUACAAUGGUAAUAAAUCUACAAGCACAACUUUAUUAUAGAAGUGCCUAGAAUCCUUACCAUGCACCUGAACUCACAUUUGAUUGUUAAGAAUUAUAAUUCCUUCAUAGCAAGUUUUGUUUAUUUUUCAGAGUUAAAAAUUAAAGUACAUGUAAUACAAAAUGUAUAAGGAUAUCUGGAUAUAAUAGGUGAACAUGAACUACAAGUACACAUUUACUAAAUUAACACUAGGUACACAUGUACUAAAUAAACACACCAGGUACACAUGUACUAAGUAAACACUUGGUAAAGAGGCACUAAGUAGACACUUGGUACACAUGUACUUACAGUUAGCAACAUCUACUUUAGAACCAAGGAUGGGGCUUCAAGUGAUAGGCAUAUUCUUUUUUAAUAAUACACACUUUUUUGAAUUCAGUUAAAAAAACCUUGUUUUUUUAUACUGUUUUCACCAAAUGUUCAGUUUCAUUUGUGUGGUACAUAUGCUUCAUCCAUUCUAUGUCCAAUUUUUGUUAAUGUUUGUUAUCUUUCUGUCACAAUGCGAAAUAUCACCAUAAAAAAUGAUCUCCAUGCAGCUGAUGUUCUAUGAUAAUACUUGAAAAUAAACUCAUAGCAUUGGACAUACAAACUAAAUACAAUAAAUGGCACUCAUGAAUGGAUAUCUGAGCUAUACAUAGUGAAACACAUUUAUAACAAAUAAAUAAAAGAAAUUUUCAUUUUGUACAAACUAUCACACCACCUGAUUUUAACAUUUUCUCAAAAUGUUGCAAAAAAAGAGAGAACUAUACCAAAAGAACUGUUUCAGUGCCCUGAUAAUGAAUUAAUGAGAUUUUGAUACACAUGAAAAAAACUAUUUUUGAGCUGCAGAAAUUCUUUCUACCGCAAUUUUGUUGUCUAUCGAGUGAUAUCUUUGACGUGUUGCAGUGCAGUAUUUUUUUGUCCAGUGAAAGUUUGCUAACUAAAUAAGUAAAACCUACAGCUAGGUUUACAGCUUUAGUCCCCUAUUUGAUUUUAUACCUCAAAUAUUUUGAUAUUGAUCUAUUGCAAAUUAAUUCUGUGUGUUAUAAAAGUUAGCUUCUAGUGAAAUUAAAUAUUUGUUAUUAAUGUUCUUAAUGACAAUGCAAAGGGUGCCAAUCUUCAAACCUCUUUGUUGUUUAGUUCAGUUGAAACAAAAUCGGUUGAUUAUUGCUUUUUUUAACAAAACAACUGCCAUUUCAGGGGUGGUCUGGCAGUUGAUUAACAGGAACAAUUAAUCUAUACUAGGGCAGAAACAUUUUUCAUCAAACAAGGCACACCAUGCUGUCAAAAACCUUAACCAAGGUCCAAUUGCAAGCCUCUCAUCUUAACAAAAAUAACAACCAACAACCAUGUACAUGACAUAUCACACAGCAACAUAUAACAUAAUUAUAUUGCUGUAAAAGAUUUUUUCUCUCUCUGUGUAUAGCACUUGCAAUCUUUUAUGAACUAAUAUGUUUUCAUGAUGAAUGAAAGUAUGCAGGAUAAAUAUCCCUUCUAUGACUGUUAACAUCAUAAUAAACUUAAACUUGAAAUACAGACAACAAAAUGGUAGAACUGACACAAGGGCACAAAAUAUAGCAAGGGGACCAACACACACCAACACAAGGGUACAACAACUGUAGUCAGGGAUCAACACAAAGCUGACACAAGGGUACAACAACUGUAGCCAGUGAUCAACACAUUGACACACAUAAAAACAACUGUAGCAAGGGUUCAACACAUUGACACAAGGGUACAACAACUGUAGCCAGUGAUCAACAUAUUGACACACAU